ACCCGUUGAUCCUGCGGGAGGUUGCUGCUAUUGGGGUUCGAUUCAGCCAUGCAAGUCAAGGGGGUUCUUCGGAACCACCGGCGAAAUGCUCAGUAACACGUUGAUAAUCUGCCCUUAGGUCAGGAAUAGCCUUGGGAAACUGAGGGUAAGACCUGAUAGGGGAUUAUAUCUGGAAUGAUUUAUCUCUUAAAGGAAACGCCUAAGGAUGAGACAGCGGCGGAUUAGGUUGUUGGCGGGGUAAUGGCCCACCAAGCCUACGAUCCGUACGGGCCGUGAGAGCGGGAGCCCGGAGAAGGACACUGAGAUACUGGUCCUAGCCCUACGGGGUGCAGCAGGCGCGAAACCUUUACAAUGCACGAAAGUGUGAUAAGGGAACCCCAAGUGCUCAUGUAUUACAUGGGCUUUUGCCAAGUGUAAAUAGCUUGGAGAAUAAGUGGUGGGUAAGACUGGUGCCAGCAGCCGCGGUAACACCAGCGCCACGAGUGGGAGCCACGUUUAUUGGGCCUAAAGCAUCCGUAGCUGGUUUGGUAAAUCUUUUGUGAAAUCAUUUGGCUUAACCAAAUGGCGUGCAGAAGACACUGCCAAACUCGAGACCGGGAGGAGUCAGGGGAAUUUCAAGGGGAGCGGUAAAAUGCAAUAAUCCUUGGAGGACCACCUGUGGCGAAGGCGCCUGACUAGAACGGUUCUGACAGUGAGGGACGAAAGCUAGGGGAGCGAUCCGGAUUAGAUACCCGAGUAGUCCUAGCUGUAAACUCUGCGAGCAUGGCGUUGCAUGUUCCACGAGAAUAUGCAAUGUCGAAGAGCAGUCGUUAAGCUCGCCGCCUGGGAAGUAUGGUCGCAAGACUGAAACUUAAAGGAAUUGGCGGGGGAGCACUACAAGGGGUGCGGCGUGCGGUUUAAUCUAACUCAACGCAGAGAACCUCACCAGGGGCGACGGCAGUAUGAAAGUCAGUCUAAAGGGCUUACUUGACGAGCCGAGAGGUAGUGCAUGGCCGCCGUCAGCUCGUGCCGUAAGGUGUCCUGUUAAGUCAGGCAACGAGCGAGACCUGUACCCAUAAUUGUUAACGGUAUCUUCGGAUAGACCGAACACCUUAUGGGAACUGCCUUGGAAACAAGGAGGAAGGUGCAGGCUACGGUAGGUCUGUAUGCUCCGAAUCCUCUGGGCUACACGCGCGCAACAAUGGUAAGGACAAAGGGAUGCAACUCCGAGAGGAGAAGCUAAACCUCGAAACCUUAUCCUAGUCUAGAUUGAGGGUUGCAACUCACCCUCAUGACACUGGAAUCCCUAGUAAUCGGAUGUCAACAUCGUCCGGUGAAUAUGUCCCUGCUCCUUGCACACACCGCCCGUCAAACCACUCGAGCAGGGUCUAGGUGAACCUCAUCUUUUUGGAUGUUGUGAAUCUAGGCUCAGUGAGAUGGGUUAAGUCGUCACAAGGUA
rnacentral:rRNA from 1 species